rnacentral:tRNA from 1 species
GGCCUUGUAGCCCAGUUAGCUAGAGCGUUGACUUUGCUACAGCCUUACACUAGCUGACGUGGGUUCGAAUCCCACCGAGGCCG